GGUGUUGAGAAACACC
rnacentral:misc_RNA from 1 species